GUAGGGAAUAUUGGUAAUCUGCGAAAGCGGGAACCAGCAACGCCGCGUGUGCGAUGAAGGCCUUCGGGUUGUAAAGCACUUUUUGAGGGGAUGAGGAAGGACAGUACCCUCAGAAUAAGCCUCGGCUAACUACGUGCCAGCAGCCGCGGUAACACGUAGGAGGCAAGCGUUAUUCGGAUUUACUGGGCGUAAAGCGCGUGCAGGCGGUUCGGUAAGUUGGAUGUGAAAGCUCCUGGCUUAACUGGGAGAGGUCGUUCAAUACUAUCGGACUAGAGGAUGAGAGAGGGAGGUGGAAUUCCGGGUGUAGUGGUGGAAUGCGUAGAUAUUCGGAGGAACACCAGUGGCGAAAGCGGCCUCCUGGCUCAUAACUGACGCUCAGACGCGAAAGCUAGGGUAGCAAACGGGAUUAGAAACCCUAGUAGUCC
rnacentral:rRNA from 1 species